GAUGAAGAACGCAGCGAAAUGCGAUAAGUAAUGUGAAUUGCAGAAUUCAGUGAAUCAUCGAAUCUUUGAACGCACAUUGCGCCCCCUGGUAUUCCGGGGGGCAUGCCUGUUCGAGCGUCAUUUCACCACUCAAGCCUCGCUUGGUAUUGGGCAACGCGGUCCGCCGCGUGCCUCAAAUCGACCGGCUGGGUCUUCUGUCCCCUAAGCGUUGUGGAAACUAUUCGCUAAAGGGUGUUCGGGAGGCUACGCCGUAAAACAACCCCAUUUCUAAGGUUGAACUCGGAUCAGGUAGGGAUACCCGCUGAACUUAAGCAUAUCAAUAAGCGGAGGA
rnacentral:misc_RNA from 1 species